rnacentral:tRNA from 1 species
GCCUGGGUGGCUCAGUCGGUUGAGCGCCCAACUGCAGCUCAGGUCAUGAUCUCAUGGUUCAUGAGUUCGAGCCCCAUGUCAGGCU